UUCAAAGCCCCUUGCUUACACCAAAGAAAUGUUUGUGAAAUCCGAUCCACUUUGA
rnacentral:tRNA from 1 species